GUGAGGAAUAUUGGACAAUGGGCGCAAGCCUGAUCCAGCCAUGCCGCGUGCAGGAAGACGCAUCUAUGGUGUGUAAACUGCUUUUGUACGGGAAGAAACACUCCCUCGUGAGGGAGCUUGACGGUACCGUAAGAAUAAGGAUCGGCUAACUCCGUGCCAGCAGCCGCGGUAAUACGGAGGAUCCAAGCGUUAUCCGGAAUCAUUGGGGUUAAAGGGUCCGUAGGCGGUUUAAUAAGUCAGUGGUGAAAGCCCAUCGCUCAACGAUGGAACGGCCAUUGAUACUGUUGGACUUGAAUUACAAGGAAGUAACUAGAAUAUGUAGUGUAGCGGUGAAAUGCUUAGAUAUUACAUGGAAUACCAAUUGCGAAGGCAGGUUACUACUUGUGGAUUGACGCUGAUGGACGAAAGCGUGGGGAGCGAACAGGAUUAGAAACCCGGGUAGUCC
rnacentral:rRNA from 1 species